rnacentral:rRNA from 1 species
GAGUUUGAUCAUGGCUCAGGAUGAACGCUAGCGGGAGGCCUAACACAUGCAAGCCGAGCGGUAGAGAUUCUUCGGAAUCUUGAGAGCGGCGUACGGGUGCGGAACACGUGUGCAACCUACCUUUAUCUGGAGGAUAGCCUUUCGAAAGGAAGAUUAAUACUCCAUAAUAUAUUGAUUGGCAUCAAUUGAUAUUGAAAGCUCCGGCGGAUAGAGAUGGGCACGCGCAAGAUUAGUUAGUUGGUGAGGUAACGGCUCACCAAGACGAUGAUCUUUAGGGGCCUGAGAGGGUGAUCCCCCACACUGGUACUGAGACACGGACCAGACUCCUACGGGAGGCAGCAGUGAGGAAUAUUGGUCAAUGGGUGCAAGCCUGAACCAGCCAUCCCGCGUGAAGGACGACUGCCCUAUGGGUUGUAAACUUCUUUUGUAUAGGGAUAAACCUACCCUCGUGAGGGUAGCUGAAGGUACUAUACGAAUAAGCACCGGCUAACUCCGUG